GCCUUCAUGGUGCAACGGUAGCACAUCUGGCGCGUAUUCGAGAGGUCCAGGUUCGAGUCCUGGCGAGGACA
rnacentral:tRNA from 1 species